CGGGGGCGCCUUCCAGCCGUUCCCGGUGCAGCGGCGUCGCGUCACGCAGUGCGGGUCGGAGCUCCGGUGUUCCCGCCUCGGCCCUCGUCCCACGAGGAAAAAAGAGCUGGCAAUAGUUUCCUGCUGGGGAUGGUGACAGCGUCAAGGACCCAGAGCACGUGCCAUGAUUUCCCUGAUGGAAAAGAUUGGCGUCCGCUUGCUUCUGAAACCUUGGCUUUUCUACUGCGGCACCUCUCCUUCUCUGCACGAAGCAUCAUCUGAGCACGGUCCAUCUUACUCCAAUUUUCAGAAGUAGCAUACUUGUAGAAGGCUGGGAGUUCAAGAAGCAUACUUGCAACGUGGACUUCAGUUUUGCAGUUCCAGUGAGCAUAACGUGAAAUCUGUAGUCUCGGCAGACGUUUUCCACACACCACCCGGGAAUACAGUCCUGCCGUUGCAGGGCUUCUCCCCACGUUCCUGAAGUGAAGUUUGAAAUGCAGAGCCCGGGCGGCUGGACUUAGUCCUGGAAGCCAGCAGUCUGAAAUGUUCCCCCGAGCUGACGGCGACGUGUCAGCAGGCCCGUGUUCCUUCUGGAGCCUCUAGAAGUAUCCAUCUCCGGGUCUGUUCCAGCUUCUAGAGGCUGCCUGCCCUCCUCAGCUCAGCGACCCCUCCAUCUUCACACCGUCCAGACCAUGACCUGUACUUUUUUCCCUGAGGAGUCUAAGCUGAAAAUGAUCACUGAAGUGAGGUCUCUAUACACCAACAUUUGACAUUAGUACCAGAACCAGAAGCCAAGUUUCCUCAGGCAAACCUCAGAGAUACUGCGGGUUUGGCUCUGGACCACAGCAAUAAACGUUUUAGUUAGAAAGAGCUUUCGAGAUCCACUUAGAGAUGGAAAAAGUGUGCUGGAGCACCCGGCGCUCUCAGCUGGAUUUCAAAGAUAGAAAUAGAAAUAGCUGGACCUCCAGAAAGAAAUGUCUGCAUUGCUACCUGCCCAGGGAGAAGGCAAAGAGGAAAAAUACCGAUUGUCAACAUCCCCAAAGCAGGCUGCUCUAUCAAAUGGAGGUCCUGAAUGUCUGGGACAUCAGAAAUCUUCUGCACAGAGAAUAAAGAAUAAAUAAAUAAAGGAAAGGUGCAGCCCUGCUCUCCUUCUGGCCGAGAGACCUGGCACGAAUCCCUCGGCAUCUCUGGGAAACUCUGCGGCUUGAGGAAGGAUCCCUUACCCGGUCCUUCUUGCGCGCGUGGACCCCAUGCCGGCGGACAAGUCCCUUGAACAGAUUGUGCCGGUCUGGUGCCCGGUAAUUGCCUUUCGAUUGCUGUUCCUCCUGAUGCCCUGCUUCCUGCGGGAAGGCGGGGUGCACGCGCUCCAGCUCUGGGCCCGACAGCACAGCCCCAGGGCGUGGGUCUCCAGCAAGCUCAAGGGAAAGGGUCCCUUAAAUGAAGUCUUUUUUUUUUAAUCACAGUAAUUAAGCAUUGUUAUUAUUUAUUUAUUUAUUUUUACAAGUUUCAUACAUGGUUAAACCUUUACUUAGAAUUUUACUACAGUGGUCUUUCUAGUACAUGAAAUUAGGUUCAAGACAAUUAAAUGAAGUCUUAUGCAGAGUGACGCUGAUUAUUUCGCAAUGAAAACGGAUGUUCUCAGUUUAACCGCAUGCCAAUUCUGGGUCACCUGCAAUAUUUAUUAGUUGUUGACGUCCUCUUUGGUGGCGAUUUCACGCUCAACUGGGCUUUUAGAUUUUUAAGUUUCGUGUUGUUUUUGUGUUGAGCUCACCGCUAUGCACACUGACCCGGGGUAACCGAGGGCGCUCGGGGGACCCCCCCCCGGCCUCAGCCCUGAGACCCUGUCCUCUGCAGGGUGAACAGACGGCUGGCCGCUGGGAGCGGUGGGGCGCAGCUGGGAGGCCAGGUCCCACUGGCGAUGCCCAGUUCACUCUCUGCGCCGCCUUUGAUGCUCCCUCCGCCUCCAAGUGCGAGCAAAGAGUACUGGAUAAUGAGGACCCAGAGUCUCUAAUUUGCUACCAAAUGCAGAAACCAUGAAAAAAGACCAUUUUUUUAAAAAAUGUGAUUUUUCCCCUUCGUAAUACUCAAGGGAGUUAUGAACGGUAGGAAUUAAUGUUUCAGGGACAUGUCUUCCACGAUGGAAUACUGAAUCUCGGGGCAUCCAGAGAGAGAAGCACAGACGCGGGGUCCCAGGGAGGACGCGCAGGUGACGAGGAGCUGCCGUGGGUCCAUUUGUCUCUGUCACUUCCCCUGAGCUGCUGUUUAACCCUGGGGAACGUCGGGUUAAUUAAAACACUGUACCAACAUCUUUGGCCUUUAAAUAUGCAUGGAUUGGAAGCCAAACCGUUGCAUGUAUCAUUACUCUGAGUAAUUUUAAAACAUACAUGCAUACAUAUUUUCUAUGUAUUAAAUUUUCUAGUUUUGUGAACUAUAUGGGUAAAAACCAAGAAAGAUGAAUUUAAGAUUUUGAAUAUAUUAUGAAGAUCGCUGCUUCAUAGCCCACUUUGGUAAAUUUGUCUGACUCUUGCAUUUGACUGAUAAUUACGACAUGGACCAGAUAUUCUUCUUAACAUUUAUUCACUUAAUGUUACCAAAGCCAUUCUUUUAAACUACGGGGAUACUACCUUUAUUUUAUUUUUUAAUUUACUCAUUUAGAUGUUUGUUUUGUAUUCCUGAAUAACUAUGAUUUUUCCAUACUUUUAAUUUACUCUAUGUAGGAUAAAUCAAGGCCUAUGUAAUGAUGGCUGUUGAUUUAAAAUAAAAGUUUGUGUGAGUAUUUAAUCAUUUAUUUUCAUAGAAGUUCAAUUGAUACAGUUUAAAGAAAAUGCAAUGCAUGUGUUACUACCACUCUGAAGGGAAAAUGGCCACCAUGAUACUUUACAGACUGUAGGUAGCAAUGAAAAGGCAUCAGGUGAAGCAGCUUUUCCUCCAGACCUUGGGAAUAAGGCGUAUACUUCAUGGAGAGCAGAGGCAGAGAGCUGACUCUCAUUAUCUUACUGUGCCUCGUUUCAGUCUGUGAUGAUUGGCACCUAAUUCAGCAAAAUGCAUGCACUUUGUGCUAGGUCAAGGACUGAGGCUGGAGGCAGAAUGAGAUGCGAUCAUCCCAGUUCUAUUUCCUGUGCUGGAUUAUGCCAUGGUCAGCCACACAACAAAGCAAGGAUGCUGAUUCUAGGUGCCCCUGUCUGUCCCUCCCAAUCACGUCUGCGCAUUCCAGAAACACGCUGGCCUUGCACAGGACUCCCUGCUUCCAUCUUUUCUUCUUUUCCUUUCUACGAUAGUCAGACGGAUUCCUAUAAAGGAAAACGACCAUGAGCUCGCUUCCUUGGAGAACAUCUCCGUGGCUUGUCUUCCCUGCUGGACGCAGUCUGCACGUCCUGGGAUGGGGUGGGGAGCCGUCCCUGAGCUGCCCCACCUCACCUCUGUUCCCCCCGCCCAAGUCCUCUCUGCCUCCUUAAUAAAGUUAGGCAAUGACACUUGGAUGAAGACACAGAAACGAUGGGAGGCAUCUAAGUGCCCACGAUGAAGGCUGGAUGGACACUGAGACUUUCCCAUGUUGGCUGUAAGAAUACUGCAAACCACCCUCGUUUCUUGCCUGUCACCUUCCCCAGAGACACCACAUAUGGGAAAAGGCAGGCACAUUUUUACACAGCACUAUACACGUGUCUAUGCAUAAA